AGCAGGUUAAUGUAAUAGUAACAUAUUCGGCUCAUGUCCGAAAAAGUAUUGGUGCAAAUCCAAUAUCUGCAU
rnacentral:tRNA from 2 species